ACGUCGGCAAAUCCUUUGUGAAGCUUUUCGGGAGCGCGAGGGUGGAGCCCCGGCGGCCGACGGCCUUUGAAGUUUCCUUCUUAUUUGAGUUUAAAGGCGGGGACUUAAUCCAGGGGCGGCCUCGCAGUUUCCCACAGGGGUAAAAGGGGGCAAGAAAACUGACUUUUUUUUCCUUUGGAGCCUCAGCUACCACCCCGGGCUCCAGCUUCUUCAAUAACAACUUGAUCGUUGUUUUUGCGGCUUUUUAGUCCAAAAGUGGUUUCAGCUGUCAGGCCGCAGAGGUCCCCCAGAGUCCAACCAUCAGCACAGUGGGGAGGCUGGGUGGAGACGUACCUCGAUGGAGGGGGGCUCCUUCCGUCUGCCUCGGAUCCAAGCUGGAGGAGAAGCAGGAGGAGGAGAGAGCAGAAAUAAGACGAUUUCUCCUCACAGGUAGCCGGGUGUCUAUCCUAUCGCUUCCAUCCCUCUGAGAAAUGAUGAGGCAAAAGAAAGAGGAGGUGGAAGGAGGGAGAGUGAUGAUGCAUGGCAAACAUGGCUAGAAGGAGAGAAAUGGAUGGGCAAGGAAAAACAACACGCUCCAAAACACAGACAAUCUGUCAGGAAUCCAUCACAGUUUCUCCGCAGCUGACUGGACAUGGACAAAUGGAGGCAACCACCUCCAUGCACACUGCAGACUGAUGGCCUUAAUGUUUACUUCAGCCAUAACAGAUAGCUAUGGCACUGGGAUGGAUAAAUGAUGACAUCCUGGAAAUAAAAAAAGAGAAGAAGAAGAAGAAAGUGUCAACUGUGUUUUUGCUUCACUUGUGUCACUGAAAUGUAUUUGUCCCGCUCAAGUUCGUUUUGGGGAAGACAAAAGCAUUUUUCAUCCAUGUUCCCUUCUGUAAUUACUUCUUAUGAGGAUGAUUCCUUUCCAUACUUUAUCCAGCCUAUAUAGUAAUCAGGUCAUCUAAUUAGGCUACUAUUGCGUUGGUUCUGCCUUGGUUCCCACUAGAUUGUCACUAUAGGGCCCCACAGGCUCCAGUUUUGCAGCCUUAUUUUAGUGGUAUCCAGGUCUGACAAAACACUGCAUACUUUAAACACCCCAAAACUGCAAAAUAGGCCCGGCAAUGUGCAAAAAAACAUUGUCACUUAUUUACAUUCAUGCCUUAAAAUGU